CGGUCCCGAGAGCCUCCCUUGCUCCGCUCCCCGCCGGAGUCAGCACAAACCCUCCCCGUCCUUUGUACGGCGGGAUCCGAGCGAGCGAGCGAGGAGGAACCUCCCAGCCCGCCUCAUACAAAGCGGGAAGGCAGGUCGGCCUGGCUACUCUGUUAUACUGCUUCAGCGAUCUAAACACUUACCACGGUAGAGGCACUGCUGUAAAGUGAACCAGCAAUUUCCUUCCAGUCCAACUUUAGCCAUAGACAAUGGCCUCCUCCAGGAGAACUGACCCUUCAGGGUAAGUGGCAGCAUUCAAUUCAAAGGAACCACCUAGUGACUUGCUGGACUUAGUCUUUAUAAAUAAUUUAUAAGAUCUACAA